rnacentral:misc_RNA from 1 species
GACAUACUCUUAUGUUCAGCAGGAAGAGAGCAGGAGGAGUGCCAGGAUUCAUUUUAUGUCAGUUGAUAAGGCAGGGCUAGGUGUUAAUUUCUCACGUGAAUAGUCACAUAGUUCAUCAGAUAAGGUUCAACUACAGUGUGACUAUUAUGAAAAAAACGGGCAUACUAAGAAACAUUGUUGGAAAUUGCAUGGAUGCCCUACUAAAGGGCGUGGAGGAAAAAUGAUGGGCUUUACUAGACCACAAGCUAAUGUAUCUGAGGCUGUGAAUCUGUCUGAAGAUACUACC